rnacentral:rRNA from 1 species
AUUGAACGCUGGCGGCAGGCUUAACACAUGCAAGUCGAGCGGAGAGAGGUAGCUUGCUACUGAUCUUAGCGGCGGACGGGUGAGUAAUGCUUAGGAAUCUGCCUAUUAGUGGGGGGCAACAUUUCGAAAGGAAUGCUAAUACCGCAUACGUCCUACGGGAGAAAGCAGGGGAUCUUCGGACCGUGCGCUAAUAGAUGAGCCUAAGUCGGAUUAGCUAGUUGGUGGGGUAAAGGCCUACCAAGGCGACGAUCUGUAGCGGGUCUGAGAGGAUGAUCCGCCACACUGGGACUGAGACACGGCCCAGACUCCUACGGGAGGCAGCAGUGGGGAAUAUUGGACAAUGGGCGGAAGCCUGAUCCAGCCAUGCCGCGUGUGUGAAGAAGGCCUUAUGGUUGUAAAGCACUUUAAGCGAGGAGGAGGCUACUUUAGUUAAUACCUAGAGAUAGUGGACGUUACUCGCAGAAUAAGCACCGGCUAACUCUGUGCCAGCCGCCGCCGUAAUAC